rnacentral:rRNA from 1 species
GCGUAGGGUAAGUAGGCAGUGGGAAACGGUGUAAAUAAAAAACUGGGUAAUUACUCUUUAUGUUUACUCAUUGAUCUCACUUGAAUCUCAGAAGGACAAUGGUAUUUAUCAGGAAUGAUUAAAUAUAAGAUAGAUAGGGGACCGACAGUGGUGAAAACAAUUUUCUGGUCGAGCAUUGAGCUAAGAGACGAAGGUAGGGGAGCAAAGCGGAUUAGACACCCGCGUAGUCCGUAUGUCAACGCUGAGUUUUCAAUAUAGGAGUAUAUGACUUUAAACUUGUAGUUUUCCAGAAUUUCUUGGUGUUCUAGUAACGCAUUAAAUUCUCCGCUGGGAAGUAUGGCCGCAGGUUGAAACUCAAAAGAAUUGAGGUGACUUGUACGAGG